ensembl:lncRNA
GAUUAUGAUUUUCAACGUCGAUACCGAUACCGAUUUAUUGGAGGACCAAAAAAAAAUGUUGGGAGCUAUAGGGGAACAGGCUAGGGGUUAGGAGCUAUAGGGGAACAGGCUAGGGGUUAGGAGCUAUAGGGGAACAGGUUAUGGUUAAUGAGCUCUAGGGGAACAGGCUAGGGGUUAAUGAGCUAUAGAGGAACAGGCGGGGGAUUCAUGAGCUAUAGAGGAACAGGCUAGGGUUAAUGAGCUAUAGGGGAACAGGUUAGGGUUAAUGAGCUAUAGGGGAACAGGCUAGGUGUUAGGAGCUAUAGGGGAACAGGCUAGGGUUAAUGAGCUAUAGGGGAACAGGCUAGGGUUAAUGAGCUAUAGGGGAACAGGCUAGGGUUAAUGAGCUAUAGGGGAACAGGCUAGGGGUAAUGAGCUAUAGGGGAACAGGCUAGGGGUUAAUGAGCUAUAGGGGAACAGGCUAGGUGUUAGGAGCUAUAGGGGAACAGGCUAGGGGUUAGGAGCUAUAGGGGAACAGGCUAGGGGUUAGGAGCUAUAGGGGAACAGGCUACGGGUUAGGAGCUAUAGGGGAAGAGGCUACAGGUUUGGAGCUAUAGGGGAACAUGCUAGGGGUUAGGAAAUGUAUGGGAACAGGCUAGGAGCAAUAGGGGAAUGGGCUAUGGCUUUUUUUUGGACAGUCAUACAUUAUGGCGGCCUGGCUGGUGUUAUGUAAUAUCACUGACACUGGGUGGACAUUAGCCAGAUGAACUGGACAAAAACA